rnacentral:rRNA from 1 species
CAGUUCGGAUUGUAGGCUGAAACUACGCCUACAUGAAGCUGGAGUUGCUAGUAAUCGCGAAUCAGCAUGUCGCGGUGAAUACGUUCCCGGGCCUUGUACACACCGCCCGUCACACCAUGAGAGUUGGCAAUACCCAACGUACGUGAUCUAACCCGCAAGGGAGGAAGCGUCCUAAGGUAGGGUCAGCGAUUGGGGUGAAGUCGUAACAAGGUAUC